CCUACGGGUGGCAGCAGUGGGGAAUAUUGGGCAAUGGGCGCAAGCCUGAACCAGCAACGCCGCGUGAAGGAAGAAGGCUUUCGGGUUGUAAACUUCUUUUCUCAGGGACGAAGCAAGUGACGGUACCUGAGGAAUAAGACACGGCUAACUACGUGCCAGCAGCCGCGGUAAUACGUAGGUGGCAAGCGUUAUACGGAUUUACGGGUUGUAAAGGGCGUGUAGGCGGGACUGCAAGUCAGAUGUGAAAACCAUGGGCUCAACCUAUGGCCUGCAUUUGAACCUGUAGUUCUUGAGUACGGGGGAGGCAGACGGAAUUCGUAGUGUAGCGGUGAAAUGCGUAGAUAUUACGAAGAACACCAGUGGCGAAGGCGGUCUGCUGGACAGCAACUGACGCUGAUGCGCGAAAGCGUGGGGAUCAAACAGGAUUAGAUACCCCAGUAGUC
rnacentral:rRNA from 1 species